AAGAAACGUUCAUUUUGGGCGCUUAAGCAUCUCCCUUCGGCUUGGGUCAUGAUCCCAGGGUCCUAGAUAGAGGCCUACAUCAGUCUCCCUUCUCAGGGGGGAGUCUGCUUGUCCCUCUCCCUCUGCCCC